rnacentral:snRNA from 1 species
AGCUUUGCAUGGGGGCAGUAUCGUAGCCAAUGAAGUUUAUCCGAGGUGCGAUUAUUAAUAAUUGAAAACUUUUUCCUAAAAUAUCAGUCCUCCAACCCAUUCACCUCUUGGCAGUGCAAUGACUGAAAACUGGGAGUGCCGUCAUCUCAG